rnacentral:ribozyme from 1 species
UCUAAAUUUUUUUUUUUUUUUUUUUUUUAUUUAAAUUUUUAUUCGAAAUUUUAUUUAAACAGGACGCAUGCUAACACUGCAA